GUGUUGUAUGAAAGGAGAGAAGGUUAGCACUCCCCUUGAUAAGGAUGGAAAGGGCCCUAGUGGCCUUACAACACACAAAUGGUUAAGGCAUUGCUUUUAUUAAUUAAAAAAAAAGAUUAAU